CGCACGGCUUGUUUGCUGCCAGUGUUACUCCCAAGUGCUGCGAAGUGUGCCGAGUGGACAGCCCCUGCCCGUGCUGCCUGCCUUAGGACAAAGCCCUGCUGAAGGGAGCUGUCCGGAUGCUUCUUGGGAAGGUUCAGUACUGGCCUGAGGUCACCCAGCUUGUCAGCAGCGGUCCCAGCACUGAAACUCCACCUGUGCGGUUCCGAGGCCUCUGCUCCCUCACCUUCCCUGGGAAGUCGUCCUUCCCAGGCCGGGAGCCCCUCUGCAGCCUGCUGUGGCAGACCACACUCAGAAUUCUGGGCAAUCACAAGCGAGUCGUCAGGCUGCUUGGCUGCGCUCGGAUUCCUGGUUUGGUGCUGGAUACAGAUGGUAAAACAUCUGCGUCUAGGAACCUGACCUCCACACUGCCCUGUGCCUUGUAUUUACGUGAGGCUCAUCACAUGUCCUUUACUGUACAUGCUGUUUUCCAAGCAGGAAAGAGGGGAUGUUUGAUUUCUGGAGAAAUCUUUGUUCGGAAAAACACUGUAAUACCACUUGUCAUUUAUCUCAUAUUUAUCAUACGAAGUGACACCUUGCUUGUUGAAUGGCUCCCAGCUCGAACUUUUCUGGUACUUGAACAGCAAAGUUCGAAAAAAGCCUGCUGGGUGUUCAGGACUUUGCUCUGUAGUUGAAACGAAAAUCCGACUUGAGAAAACCUGCAGGGGCUGAGAGUGAGUCACAGGUUGCGUCUCGCCACAGAGGGGAGAUGCCUCAGUGCGAGUGACGCUCUCGCUCAGAUGCACACAGGGCUUGUGUCGGGGUGUUAAGACAUUCCACACUCGGCUUUUUUGUGUGUGUGCUUUAUUUGGGUAGAAUAUCGUAACCCUGGCUCCAAGGAAAGUUAUGAUACCAGCGGUAAAGCUAAGAGGAAAACUGUGGGAACCACGAUAGAGUUAAAGAAAGAAAUCACUGCGAAACUUGUUAAAGUCCUGGAAAAAUGAAUUUAUAAGUGUAACUGUUGGGCCUCAGAACCAAUUAUUUGGUUUUCCAUUAUUUCUUAUGGGAAAAAUAUGUCUGGUUCUUGAACUUGUCGGUGUUUGAACAUGAAUUUGGAAGGAACUGAGUUUGACAACCAAAGUACCAUUGUGUAUACUUUAUACACACUUUAUAUAGUUAAAGAGGUGGUACAUGUAUACAUACCACCUCUAAUCAGCGUAAAAUUCAUUUCACUGGUAAGAACGCUGAGUCUCAAAAAGGUCACAUUGCCUGUCCAAAAGGAAACAGCCUUUGCCAGGAUUUGAACCCAUGACUGAGCUCAAGGCUCUGCUCUGACCUCUCCCACGCUGCUUGGCCCCGGCACUCAAAUUAAUUCACACCUGCGCCUUGCUAGAUGCUGCUGUCCCUUGCCCUGGUGAGGUGAGGUUUGGAAAGUGACCUGAGAUUGUGACCGUGCUAAUGUGAGCGAGUUGCCUGGUGAAAAAUGUGUGUUGAACGACCAUCUUCCUGCCCAUAUGGAGGAGGCUGCCUGUCCCCAGAAAUCCACGUGCCUCCGUGCAGAGGGGGCUGACAGACAGCAGCCCCAGUGGGCACACAUCCCGGCCUCCCUUGACAGAGUGGGCCAUAGGAUAGUGGGCCAGAGCACAGUGUGGUUUGUCGCUUGCAGGGGGACAGUUCAGAGAGUAAAUAGGAGAUUGGACUCCAAGGCCCCAGGAUGGUGAGGCCACGGAUGAAAUGACACCACUCUUUGACGAGGACAUCAGACUGGCUCAUGAGAGAGAAACAGACUAUUGUGUUAAGUCCGUGAAGCUAGACGGUUCAUGCAGCUAGCGCUGCCCUAAUACAUGCUAUUUACGCAAGCAUGUGUUGAUACAUAAAAUGCAAAGUGGAAGACUAAAACUACCAUGUGAGAC
ensembl:lncRNA